rnacentral:rRNA from 1 species
AGUGAACGCUGGCGGCAGGCCUAAUACAUGCAAGUCGAACGGCAGCACAGUGGGGCUUGCUCCAUGGGUGGCGAGUGGCGGACGGGUGAGGAAUACAUGGGAAUCUGCCCAGUCGUGGGGGAUAACGUAGGGAAACUUACGCUAAUACCGCAUGCGCCCUUCGGGGGAAAGCCGGGGACCUUCGGGCCUGGCGCGAUUGGAUGAGCCCAUGUUCGAUUAGCUAGUUGGCGGGGUAAAGGCCCACCAAGGCGACGAUCGAUAGCUGGUCUGAGAGGAUGAUCAGCCACACUGGGACUGAGACACGGCCCAGACUCCUACGGGAGGCAGCAGUAGGGAAUAUUGGACAAUGGGCGCAAGCCUGAUCCAGCCAUGCCGCGUGAGUGAAGAAGGCCCUCGGGUUGUAAAGCUCUUUUGUCCGGGAAGAAAAGCAUCGGGCUAAUACCUCGGUGUUCUGACGGUACCGGAAGAAUAAGCACCGGCUAACUUCGUG